AUACGUAGGGGGCGAGCGUUGUCCGGAAUGAUUGGGCGUAAAGGGCGCGUAGGCGGCCCGGUAAGUCUGGAGUGAAAGUCCUGUUUUUAAGAUGGGAAUUGCUUUGGAUACUGUCGGGCUUGAGUGCAGGAGAGGUAAGUGGAAUUCCCAGUGUAGCGGUGAAAUGCGUAGAGAUUGGGAGGAACACCAGUGGCGAAGGCGACUUACUGGACUGUAACUGACGCUGAGGCGCGAAAGUGUGGGGAGCAAACAGGAUUAGAUACCCUGGUAGUCCACACUGUAAACGAUGAAUGCUAGGUGUAGUGGGUAUCGACCCCUUCUGUGCCGCAGUCAACACAAUAAGCAUUCCGCCUGGGGAGUACGGCCGCAAGGUUGAAACUCAAAGGAAUUGACGGGG
rnacentral:rRNA from 1 species